GCGCCUCCCAGGGAUCUUAUCAACCCCAUCUCCGAGCCCAGCAGCUCACAGCUCGCCUGCCAGCUCGAUGGGGUUUGGUUCUGUGCUUCCGAUGACUGAGAUUUUGCUUGGCUUCCUGGAGCUUUGGCUGGGGAAGAGCAGCUCUCACACCGCAGCUGGCAGUGCAUGAGGGUGGGAGGGACCUACAAGCAUCACAGCCCUGCCUGGCCCUACACCUCCCCCCGCCUUUUUCUGUAGAGUAGGUGCUAAGUGGGCACCCGGCUCCUGCCCCACAGUUUUCCCAUGAGUCCUCCCCGGCUCAGCUUCCAUGCAAACCCCUCCCAUGCUCUUACACAGGGGUAGGAAAUGAGCUGUAUGUUCACGCUCUUGGAAGCUGCCGACUUCAGCUGGGUGAGCUCCCAGCCUGGUUCCUGGGGAAGCUUGGGAGAACAGACAGCAGAGCGCAGCAUCACUGCUUCGUGGACCACAUGGAGCUGCUCUGAGUGCCACCCAACAUGCACAGCUGUCAUCCUGCUUUGCUGCAGGCAUUGGCCCAGUUCCAUUUGGCGUUGGCGGCAGUUCCCAGCCUGUGCAUUUUGAUGCGGAUUCUCCAACCACUUGUAAACUCUUAUAAGCGAGGAGGAAGGAGGUGGGAAGCACAGCGCCUUGCUGCAGGCAGGAGCAUGGCUGGGGAGCAGGGCAGGGAGCUGAGCCUGGCUGUCCUCAUCUCCUUAUCACUAAUAAAAUGGUGGGAAUGGCUGCUGUGGGCCCAGAGGUUAUCAGAGAUUGGUGAGUAUGGAAGGAAGGGAUGCAGAAGGACCCAACAGGGUGCAGUGCAGCAUGGGAGCAGCAGAAGGCAACAGGGGAAGGCAGCACGGGCAGUGCCAAUAUCACUCCCCUGCUCUCUGAAAACCCCAAUGAUCAGCCCCCUAUUUCGUGAAUACACAAUCCACUUGCAGCUUCCUAAAUAA
rnacentral:lncRNA from 1 species